rnacentral:rRNA from 1 species
AUUGAACGCUGGCGGCAUGCUUUACACAUGCAAGUCGAACGGCAACGCGGACUUCGUCCUUGCUUCGCUUGGCGAACGGGUGCGUAAUGCAUCGGAACGUGCCCCUUCCUGGUGGAUAGCCCUGCGAAAUCCGGAUUAAUACCACAUACGCCCAGAGUCUGAAAGCGGGGGACCGGAAGCCCUCGCCCUCUUGCCGUCGCCGAUGUCGGAUUAGCUAGUUGGUGGGGUAAAGGCUUACCAAGGCGACGAUCCGUAGCUGGUCUGAGAGGAAGACCAGCCACACUGGGACUGAGACACGGCCCAGACUCCUACGGGAGGCAGCAGUGGGGAAUUUUGGACAAUGGGGGCAAGCCUGAUGCAGCCAUGCCGCGUGUGGGAAGAAGGCCUUCGGGUUGUAAAGCGCUUUUGUUCGGGAAGAAAUCAUUUGGGCUAAUACCCCGGGGGGAUGACGGUACCGGAAGAAGAAGCACCGGCUAACUACGUG